UACGGAGGGUGCAAGCGUUGCUCGGAAUUAUUGGGCGUAAAGGGUAGGUAGGUGGUCUUAUUUGUGUGGGGUGAAAGCCUUGAGCUUAACUCAAGAAGUGCCCCGCAAACGGUAAGACUGGAGUCUUGGAGAGGCUAGCGGAAUUCCCGGUGUAGCGGUGAAAUGCGUAGAGAUCGGGAGGAACACCAGAGGCGAAGGCGGCUAGCUGGACAAGUACUGACGCUGAGGCGCGAAAGCUAGGGGAGCAAACAGG
rnacentral:rRNA from 1 species